CCACACCCGUUCCCAUCCCGAACACGGAAGUUAAGCUCUUUUGCGCCGAUGGUAGUUGGGGGUUUCCCCCUGUGAGAGUAGGACGUCGCUGGUC
rnacentral:rRNA from 1 species